GAUGAACGCUAGCGGCAGGCCUAACACAUGCAAGUCGAGGGAGGAGCCUUCGGGCGUUGACCUGCGUACAGGUGGGUAACCCGUAGACAAUGUAACGUUCACAUAUGCUUAGCCUGAAGAAAUUUUGACUAAUUCCUAAUGGUCUAGAGAUGUGGCAGUACCUUUAUAUUAAAGCUGAUGAGGUUAAAGGUGAGAGGGCGUUCUAUGAGCUAGUUGGAGCGGUAACGGCUCCCCAAGGCGACGAUAGCUAAGGGUUCUGAGGGGGAUGUCCCCCACAAUGGAACUGAGCUACGGUCCAAGCUCCUACGGGAGGCAGCAGUGUGGAAUAUUGGUCAAUGGUCGGUAGACUGCUCCAGCCAUGUCGCGUGCAGGAAGACGGCCUUAUGGGUUGUAAACUGCUUUUGUAGGGGGAUAAUGCGCACUACGCGUCGUUUCAUGCCGGUACCAUGCGAAUAAGCACCGGCUAACUCCGUG
rnacentral:rRNA from 1 species